rfam:Phialocephala scopiformis strain CBS 120377 unplaced genomic scaffold LY89scaffold_24, whole genome shotgun sequence.
GGGCUUGUGGUUUAGUGGUAUAAUACCCCCUUAGCACCAAACAUGCUAUAACUUGGGGGUGGUCCAGGGUUCGAUUCCCUGCAAGUCCA